rnacentral:rRNA from 1 species
UACGAACUGUGCAAACGUUAUUCGGAAUCACUGGGCUUAAAGGGUGCGUAGGCGGCUGUCUAAGUAGGGUGUGAAAGCCCCCGGCUCAACCGGGGAAUUGCGCCCUAAACUGGACGGCUGGAGUGAGGCAGGGGUGUGUGGAACUUCCGGUGGAGCGGUGAAAUGUGUUGAUAUCGGAAGGAACGCCGGUGGCGAAAGCGAUACACUGGGUCUCAACUGACGCUGAGGCACGAAAGCCAGGGGAGCAAACGGG